UUGUCCGGAUUUACUGGGUGUAAAGGGUGCGUAGGCGGCUUUGCAAGUCAGAUGUGAAAUCUAUGGGCUCAACCCAUAAACUGCAUUUGAAACUGUAGAGCUUGAGUGAAGUAGAGGCAGGCGGAAUUCCCCGUGUAGCGGCGAAAUGCGUAGAGAUGGGGAGGAACACCAGUGGCGAAGGCGGCCUGCUGGGCUUUAACUGACGCUGAGGCACGAAAGCGUGGGUAGCAAACAGGAUUAGAUACCCUGGUAGUCCACGCCGUAAACGAUGAUUACUAGGUGUGGGGGG
rnacentral:rRNA from 1 species